rnacentral:rRNA from 1 species
AUUGAACGCUGGCGGCAGGCUUAACACAUGCAAGUCGAGCGAGCGGCGGACGGGUGAGUAAUGUCUGGGACCCUGCCUGAUGGAGGGGGAUAACUACUGGAAACGGUAGCUAAUACCGCAUACCAUCAGAUGUGCCCAGAUGGGUUUAGCUAGUAGGUGGGGUAAUGGCUCACCUAGGCGACGAUCCCUAGCUGGUCUGAGAGGAUGACCAGCGACCCUGGAACUGAGAACAGGUACAGACUCAUACGGGAGGCAGCGGUGGGGAAUAGUGCACAAGGGGCGCAAGCCUGAUGCAGCCAUGCCGCGUGUGUGAAGGAGGCCGUCGGGUUGUAAAGCACUUUCAGCGAGGAGGCGUUACUCGCAGAAGAAGCACCGGCUAACUCCGUGCCAGCCGCCGCGGUAAUUC